UACGGAGGGGACUAGCGUUGUUCGGAAUUACUGGGCGUAAAGCGCGCGUAGGCGGAUUGGUCAGUCAGAGGUGAAAUCCCGGGGCUCAACCCCGGAACUGCCUUUGAUACUGCUAGUCUUGAGUUCGAGAGAGGUGAGUGGAAUCCCGAGUGUAGAGGUGAAAUUCGUAGAUAUUCGGAGGAACCCCAGUGGCGAAGGCGGCUAACUGGCUCGAUACUGAGCUGAGGUGCGAAAGCGUGGGGAGCAAACAGG
rnacentral:misc_RNA from 1 species